UUUGAUCCUGGCUCAGGAUGAACGCUAGCUACAGGCUUAACACAUGCAAGCCGAGGGGCAGCAUGGUCUUAGCUUGCUAAGACUGAUGGCGACCGGCGCACGGGUGAGUAACACGUAUCCAACCUGCCGUCUACUCUUGGACAGCCUUCUGAAAGGAAGAUUAAUACAAGAUGGCAUCAUGAGUCCGCAUGUUCACAUGAUUAAAGGUAUUCCGGUAGACGAUGGGGAUGCGUUCCAUUAGAUAGUAGGCGGGGUAACGGCCCACCUAGUCUUCGAUGGAUAGGGGUUCUGAGAGGAAGGUCCCCCACAUUGGAACUGAGACACGGUCCAAACUCCUACGGGAGGCAGCAGUGAGGAAUAUUGGUCAAUGGGCGAGAGCCUGAACCAGCCAAGUAGCGUGAAGGAUGACUGCCCUAUGGGUUGUAAACUUCUUUUAUAAAGGAAUAAAGUCGGGUAUGCAUACCCGUUUGCAUGUACUUUAUGAAUAAGGAUCGGCUAACUCCGUGCCAGCAGCCGCGGUAAUACGGAGGAUCCGAGCGUUAUCCGGAUUUAUUGGGUUUAAAGGGAGCGUAGAUGGAUGUUUAAGUCAGUUGUGAAAGUUUGCGGCUCAACCGUAAAAUUGCAGUUGAUACUGGAUAUCUUGAGUGCAGUUGAGGCAGGCGGAAUUCGUGGUGUAGCGGUGAAAUGCUUAGAUAUCACGAAGAACUCCGAUUGCGAAGGCAGCCUGCUAAGCUGCAACUGACAUUGAGGCUCGAAAGUGUGGGUAUCAAACAGGAUUAGAUACCCUGGUAGUCCACACGGUAAACGAUGAAUACUCGCUGUUUGCGAUAUACUGCAAGCGGCCAAGCGAAAGCGUUAAGUAUUCCACCUGGGGAGUACGCCGGCAACGGUGAAACUCAAAGGAAUUGACGGGGGCCCGCACAAGCGGAGGAACAUGUGGUUUAAUUCGAUGAUACGCGAGGAACCUUACCCGGGCUUAAAUUGCAGAUGAAUUACGGUGAAAGCCGUAAGCCGCAAGGCAUCUGUGAAGGUGCUGCAUGGUUGUCGUCAGCUCGUGCCGUGAGGUGUCGGCUUAAGUGCCAUAACGAGCGCAACCCUUGUUGUCAGUUACUAACAGGUUCCGCUGAGGACUCUGACAAGACUGCCAUCGUAAGAUGUGAGGAAGGUGGGGAUGACGUCAAAUCAGCACGGCCCUUACGUCCGGGGCUACACACGUGUUACAAUGGGGGGUACAGAGGGCCGCUACCACGCGAGUGGAUGCCAAUCCCCAAAACCUCUCUCAGUUCGGACUGGAGUCUGCAACCCGACUCCACGAAGCUGGAUUCGCUAGUAAUCGCGCAUCAGCCACGGCGCGGUGAAUACGUUCCCGGGCCUUGUACACACCGCCCGUCAAGCCAUGGGAGCCGGGGGUACCUGAAGUGCGUAACCGCGAGGAGCGCCCUAGGGUAAAACUGGUGACUGGGGCUAAGUCGUAACAAGGUAACC
rnacentral:rRNA from 1 species